CGGAUGGGAAUGUUUGGAUGAGUCAGUAGAAAGAGAGUGUAAGCUUCUUGUCUGUGACUCCAGGGCAGAGGUUUUCAGCUCUGAGAAAAGCUAAGAGACAACAACUGGCUAGAGCACCAAGGUUUCCAUGGAGGACCUCACUCAGGGGUUGAGUGGGCCCAUCAUGUGAAUGUUGGCUACUAAAAAGGACCAAAGAAAGCCAAAAAUGUUCUCCUGACCAAUCACAAAGGAUACCCAUGUUCAGUCAGCCCACCUCCAGCAUCCCUGGCUAACAUCCUCCAGCCAGGCAGGGCUGAGCCUUCUUUUUCACUGCCACCCUUUUCCACUUCUUUGCCUGAUUUGAGUCUCUGCAAAGCACAGAUGAUAGUGGCUGACUCCUUUG